rnacentral:misc_RNA from 1 species
GCUGAGCGUCCUCUUUUCGGUGGUGCUAUUUCCACUACUUUCCCUAUCCGAUUCCAGGAUGUUAGUAAUGUCCGUCAAGUUCCUGAUCAUCAGGAGGCAUUUGUGGACCCUGAGCGCGAUGAGAGUUUGAUAAUUGAGCUUCUGGAUCUGAAGAUGGAUGUAGCAGACAGUGGAAGUGCCACUUGGUUUCUUCAAGACCUUGCCAAUGAACAAGAGGCUGAGGGAGCUACAAUCACUGAGCAGUCAGCAGUGUUUGAGGCCCCUGGAUUGUGCUAUAGAAACAUGCCUGCUGUCAUCACCACCGCUGUUGGUCAGAUGGCAGUUGCCAAGGGAAAACAAGGGAGGGAAGCACAGAACUUGGUUAAGGUGUACCUGGCAAACAUUCGCCUUAAGGAAGUUGGGACAGAUGUACUGAUAACUGCAUAUGAGCCUCUAGUAAUUAACCCCUUGAGUGAGAGUGCUACCGCAGUUGGGGCAGGCAUGGCUGUACCUGCUGCACAGUCUGGAGUUAUGCCAAUGGCUGAAGUUUUUAAACUUGCAGUCUCUAGUUUCAAAGUGCACAACUGGAGUCUCUUUAGCUCUGCUGCUGCUUGAGUUGCAGUUACAUACAUCUGGCAUCACUUGGUUGAUUAUAGGUCCAUUUUCGAAGAGCCCGAUUAUUUUGUGUUUUUCUUUUGAAGUUUAUGGUUCCUGUUUUAUA